AACGAACGCUGGCGGCAUGCCUAACACAUGCAAGUCGAACGAGACCUUCGGGUCUAGUGGCGCACGGGUGCGUAACGCGUGGGAACCUGCCCUUAGGUUCGGAAUAACUCCCCGAAAGGGGUGCUAAUACCGGAUAAUGUCUUCGGACCAAAGAUUUAUCGCCUCUGGAUGGGCCCGCGUUGGAUUAGCUAGUUGGUAGGGUAAAAGCCUACCAAGGCGACGAUCCAUAGCUGGUCUGUGAGGAUGAUCAGCCACACUGGGACUGAGACACGGCCCAGACUCCUACGGGAGGCAGCAGUGGGGAAUAUUGGACGAGGGACGAAAGCCUGAUCCAGCAAUGCCGCGUGAGUGAUGAAGGCCUUAGGGUUGUAAAGCUCUUGUACCCGGGAUGAUAAUGACAGUACCGGGAGAAUAAGCACCGGCUAACUACGUG
rnacentral:rRNA from 1 species